AUUAGCUAGAUGGUAAGGUAACGGCUUACCAUGGCUACGAUGUCUAGGGGUUCUGAGAGGAAGAUCCCCCACACUGGAACUGAGACACGGUCCAGACUCCUACGGGAGGCAGCAGUGAGGAAUAUUGGACAAUGGAUGGAAAUCUGAUCCAGCCAUGCCGCGUGCAGGAAGACGGCCCUAUGGGUUGUAAACUGCUUUUGUAUGGGAGCAAUAAGGUCUAUGCGUAGACUGAUGAGAGUACCAUACGAAUAAGCAUCGGCUAACUCCGUGCCAGCAGCCGCGGUAAUACGGGGGAUGCAAGCGUUAUCCGGAUUUAUUGGGUUUAAAGGGUGCGUAGGCGGUUUGAUAAGUCAGCGGUGAAAUAUUUCAGCUUAACUGAAAGGGUGCCGUUGAUACUGUCAGGCUUGAAUAUGGUUGCUGUGGGUGGAAUGUGUGGUGUAGCGGUGAAAUGCUUAGAUAUCACACAGAAUAUCGAUUGCGAAGGCAGCUCACAAAGCCAUUAUUGACGCUGAUGCACGAAAGUGUGGGGAUCAAACAGGAUUAGAUACCCUGGUAGUCCACACUGUAAAC
rnacentral:rRNA from 1 species